rnacentral:lncRNA from 13 species
AUAAAGCAAUGAUGUCAAGACACACAAGUACACAAAACUGCACUUCCCCAAAUUAUUCCAGUAUCACAUUUGUCGGCGACUCACCUGUGUCAAAGAUGAUCUGUUAAAAUGACAAGAUACCCGUCUGACCGCUCUAAUAAUGGAAAUACAUGUCCUCAAUUAUUAGGGGCAAGCGCGAUCAGGUGGGACCAUUCUAGGCAACGAGAGGGCAGAUAGUUGUGCCUGUUGUUCACACGCGUAGUCUAAGUAGUUUUUCUCAAAGUUGCCAGAAUGCCACUUGCAUUCACUUAUGUCAAUACAUUUGUAAAAGCCUAAACAUUACGAAACUUCUAUUUGAUGAAAUAUGACUGACCUAAUUCGACACUCUCUUAUAGACCUCCAUGCAAAAAAAGGCUCAUCUCACGCGGACAGAUUUUGAGCGGAGUAAAUACUCUCCCUUCGCCUCUUCCUCUCUGCCUGUGUCUACCUGUUCGCAACCUCCCUGCGACUCCCUCCUCGAGAAUCAGGAAAUGUAAAAUUGUCGUCGUCACCUUAGUGCCACAACAAAUAAUAACCUACAGAGUUUGGCAUUGAAUCAGAAUAAUGAUACGUCAAUAUCAGCUCACAGUUUGGUAUGCUGGAAAUGGACUGGGAGACUAGUCAGGAUCGAGGGAAAGAUGACCGGAGCAAAGAACAGAGAGAUCCUUUAUGAAAACCUGCUCCAGAAUGCUCAGGACCUAAGACUGGGGCAAAGGUUUACCUUCCAAAAGGACAAUGACCUUAAGCACACUGCCAAGACAACGUAGGAUGGGCUUCGGGACAAGUCUCUGAAUGUCCUUGAGUGGCCCAACAAGAGCCCGGACUUGAACCAGAUCAAAUAUUUCUGGAGAGACCUGAAAAUACCUGUGCAGCAACGCUCCCCAUCCAACAUGACCAAGCUUGAGAGGAUCUUCAGAGAAGAAAGGGACAAACUCCCCAAAUACAGUGGCUUGUGAAAGUAUUCAGACCCUUUGGCAUUUUUCCUAUUUUGUUACCUUACAAGAGGGAAUUCAAAUAGAUUUUUUGGGGGGGUUGUAUCAUUUGAUUUACACAACAUGCCUACCACUUUGAAGAUGCAUGAUAUUUUUUUAUUGUGAAAAAAACAAGAAAUAACACAAAAAAACGAAAACUUGAGUGUGCAUAACUAUUCACCCUCCCAAAGUGAAUUUUUUUGUAGAUCCACCUUUUGCAGCCAUUAUAGUUGCAAGUCUCUUGGGGUAUGUCUCUAUAAACUUGGAAGAUCUAGCCACUGGGAUUUUUGCCCAUUCUUCAAGGUAAAACUGCUCCAGCUCCUUCAAGUUGGAUGGGUUCUGCUGGUGUACAGCAAUCUUUAAGUCAUACCAUAGAUUCUCAAUUGGAGAGAGAGAGAGAUUGGAUUGAGGUCUGGGCUUUGACUA